GAGGGUGUAGCUCAGGGGUAGAGUGUCUGCUUAGCAUGCACGACAUCCUGGGUUCAAUCCCCAGCAUCUCCA
rnacentral:tRNA from 1 species